UGGGCAACCUGCCCCAGACUCAGGGAUAACCCCGGGGAAAUCGGGGCUAAUACCCGAUACUCCGAUCGAACCACAUGGCUUGAUCGGGAAAGCUCCGACGGUCUGGGAUGGGCCCGCGGCCUAUCAGCUUGUUGGUGGGGUAACGGCCUACCAAGGCGACGACGGGUAGCCGGCCUGAGAGGGUGACCGGCCACACUGGGACUGAGAUACGGCCCAGACUCCUACGGGAG
rnacentral:rRNA from 1 species